UACAGAGGUCUCAAGCGUUGUUCGGAUUCAUUGGGCGUAAAGGGUGCGUAGGCGGCGCGGUAAGUCGGGUGUGAAAUCUCGGAGCUUAACUCCGAAACUGCAUUCGAUACUGCCGUGCUUGAGGACUGGAGAGGAGACUGGAAUUUACGGUGUAGCGGUGAAAUGCGCAGAUAUCAGGAGGAACACCGGUGGCGAAGGCGGGUCUCUGGGCCGGAACUGACGCUCAGGCACGAAAGCGUGGGGAGCAAACAGG
rnacentral:rRNA from 1 species